CAGCAGUCGCCGCGGGAAUACGUAGGGUGCGAGCGUUAAUCGGAAUUACUGGGCGUAAAGCGUGCGCAGGCGGUUCGUUAAGACAGAUGUGAAAUCCCCGGGCUUAACCUGGGAACUGCAUUUGUGACUGGCGAGCUAGAGUAUGGCAGAGGGGGGUAGAAUUCCACGUGUAGCAGUGAAAUGCGUAGAGAUGUGGAGGAAUACCGAUGGCGAAGGCAGCCCCCUGGGCCAAUACUGACGCUCAUGCACGAAAGCGUGGGGAGCAAACAGGAUUAGAUACCCCCGUAGUCCCUGUCUCUUAUAC
rnacentral:rRNA from 1 species